UACAGAGGUCUCAAGCGUUGUUCGGAUUCAUUGGGCGUAAAGGGUGCGUAGGCGGCGCGGUAAGUCGGGUGUGAAAUCUUGGAGCUUAACUCCGAAACUGCAUUCGAUACUGCCGUGCUUGAGGACUGGAGAGGAGACUGGAAUUUACGGUGUAGCGGUGAAAUGCGUAGAUAUCGUAAGGAAGACCAGUGGCGAAGGCGGCUCACUGGCCCGAUACUGACGCUGAGGCACGAAAGCGUGGGGAGCAAACAGGG
rnacentral:rRNA from 1 species